rnacentral:rRNA from 1 species
GACGAACGCUGGCGGCGUGCCUAAUACAUGCAAGUUGAGCGCUGAAGGCUGGUACUUGUUCUAGAUGGCUGAGACGCGAAUGGGUGAGUAACGAGUGGCGCGUCUGUCUUUGAGCGGGGGACAACAUAUGGAAACGGGAGAUAAUACCUCAUAAAAACUUUAACCACAGGUUUGAAGCUUGAAAGAUGAACUUGCAUCAAUCAAUGAUGGUCGCGCGUUCUAUUUGCUAGUAGGUGAGGUAAAGGAUGACCGACGCGAUGAGACAUAGCCGGCCUGAGUGGUUGGACGGCGGAAGUGGGACUUAGACACGGCCCAAGCUCCUACGGGAGGCAGCAGGAAGGAAUCGUGAGUAAUGGACGAAAGGCUGACCGAGCAACGCCGGGUGCGGGAAGGAGGUUUUCGGAUCGUAAAACGCUGAUUGUAGAGGAGCACGAUGGUGAGAGUUGAUAGCUCAGGUAGUGACGGUAACUACACAGAAAGCGACGGCUAACUACGUG